GAGUUGCUGAGGAGCUGCUCGACAUCGACAGCGUGUUCCUAGCCAAGCAGAUGAACCACCUCAGCGUCAAACUCAUUUGCACGAUUUCCCCAUAGAACAAGCUUCAUCUCCACACCACUGCAGGCAUACAAUAAAAACAUAUCACAAUUGUCACAUACAAAUACAAAUAGCCAUGUAUAAAAAGCAAUAGAAUUUAACUACAACGAACAAGCAAUAUACCUCAAAUCCUUGAGACCAAUGACUCUCCUAGGCGUAUCAACCGAGUUACUCCCCACUCAUAUAUGAGUAACAUUAGACACACCAACUAUCAUUGCUAUAACAUCUGAAAGCACACACAAUCAUUGUAAAGUGAAUAACCUAACAAUCGAUAUCACAUCACCGACCUAUAAAAUAUGCCUGGCUUCCUACCCGCGAAGAAAGAUCAUAAAGUAGCGACAGGUGAAGCGACAGGUGAAACACAAAUCGAGGAAACAAUUCAACGACAGGCUCAACAUGAUCCAUCUUCGUCCAUGGGGUGAGCUUGAUCAUAUACUUCGCACAAAAAGGCUUAUAGGAAGGCUUCAUAUUGACCACAAGGAACUUACUAAACGAAUACACACCACCUUUCUUGACAACACUACUAACCUUAUCAACAUCACGCCCACUAGCUUCUGCAUACAUAACGUCCCCCUGCACACCCAGCAGCCGGAUCAAC
rnacentral:lncRNA from 1 species